rnacentral:pre_miRNA from 1 species
GAUUUCAAAUGGAAAUAUGGUCAAAAACAAAGUUGAUCCUCUCAUCAGGAUCUACAACUUUUAUUUUGGUCACUUCUUCAUCCGACAAAGUGAUAGUUAUACUAUUCACAAUAAUCACAUUUCUCUCAUCUGGUUUAUAAAUAUCAACACAGAUAUGUCAAUUUUGUAAACAUUGGUAGUAUCACUUUGUUGGAUGAAGAAGUGACCAAAAUAAAAGUUGUAGAUCCUGAUGGGAAGAUCAACUUUGUUUUUGACCAUAUUUCCAUUUGAAAUC